rnacentral:piRNA from 1 species
AUGAAUGGUUUGUCUUGGUCCAGAACA